rnacentral:snoRNA from 1 species
AGCCUCAUUCUGUAUGAAAACGGGCACAGCUGAUCACGGUAUCCAGAUAUGGUAAUUGUGGCUUAAAAAAAGACAGCUUUGAAAAGU